UGGAUCUAGGCCUAUGUAUGCUGUGUCCUAUGAAUGUGGCGCUGGUAAUAAGAACGAUCAUGUUUAUGUUCUAAGACACAUUGUUGCAUUUGUGAUUGGUACAUUGACAUGGCCUAGGAUAUCUUCUUCUAACAAGGGGAAAAUAUUUAGUGGGUGAAAGGAUCGUGUGAUGCCUAGAGGAGGGGGGAGGGGUGAAUAGGCUCAAUCUCAAAUUCCUGAAAAAUUCUUCACAGCAGUUAAAUACGUCAGAACUUCCGACACGGUACCAGAACUUCCGACUGGGUUGGAACUUCCAGUACAGGGGCGGAACUUCCAACGGCAGCACAUGAGCUAUAUGAAAUUCAAAAUUAAACUUGAAACUGUAGAAACUAUUUGAAUAAAAAGUUUAGCAAUGAUGUAUAGAGACUACUGCAAUUGAUCUUUAUAAGAGAAACUUCACAAGAAUGUAGAUUGGCACGAAUCAAGCUCUAGGUCAACAAGAACUUGAAGAACACAACAAGCACACGAGACAAAGGAUUGUUUUACUAAAGUUCACUCCCAUAAAGGAAGCUACAUCUCCAUUGAGGAGCUCACAAAGAGUUGGGUCCUCACUAACCCUUUACCUCUCCCAAUCAACCACAAAGGAAGAUUAGGUCACCUACUAUUAAUCCUCCAAGAGGAUGGGCAAUACAAACUUCCCGGGCGCACCACACGAGAGGGCGCAUAAAUGGGCGAUGCCGUACCGUCUAGAAGCAAGCUUCAUGAGUAACAAACAUGAAUCAAAGACCGGAGAUGCUUCAAGUGCUCUUCAGAUGAACUUGGUUGACCUAAC
rnacentral:lncRNA from 1 species